rnacentral:telomerase_RNA from 1 species
GUCCAUUAUUAUUAUGUCGCGGCAACUCAACUGCCGUCGAGGUGUCUAGCGACGCCUGUGGUUGAGGUUAAACCAAACCAUAUUUGAAUACAGUGUUUCUUCUCCCCUUCAUUCACAUCAAAAAUAGAAGGGGACUACCGCGACUUUUUUUU